rnacentral:lncRNA from 1 species
GUACGGGCAGUGGAAGUCGUUCCCGAAAGCAAAGUCCGCACAUAAUUUUAUGAGGACUUUACGGUGAACUUAGGGUGGUAGUGACCUAAGUGACCCUAGGAAUGCCAACGUAGACUGGCACGUCUUCAAAGGGCAGCGGCACCCACUGUAGGAAUGCACGGUUCUAGUGUGUAGGAAGGGAACACUUUAUGGGCUCAUUAAUCCUCAUAACAGGCCUCUUUGUUAGGCAGCAGAGAAUUAUGCCCAUUUUUUAAACAAGGAGAUAUAUUUACCGAGGUCAGCAGAGUCAAAAAUAGUACUUCCUACUUUGCAGUUCCCAGUAGUGCGCUUGGUCAACUCGUUUGGCACAACUUGCCAAGUGUUGCUCUCUGACCUGUCACAGCACUGCUGUUUGUUGUCUCCACUUCCCUUUGUGUAGCUUAUCCUUUCACUCGCUGGCAAGAUCAGGCUUCACACGUGUCAUCUACACCAUAUAGACUUGAUAUUUUGUUUCAAACGAUACUAUGAUAGCAAUUUGUCAAAAAAGCAAGGAAUGCAUUGAAUAGCGAAUUAUUUAUGUUUUGAAGAAUGCAGGUGAAAGGUGAUUUAAUUGAAGGUCCUCAGUGUCAGGCCAGAACUGAGUCAUUCUGCCUAAUUUCUCUCUCAGUUACCCACACAAGUAGAUGC